GAUGAACGCUGGCGGCGUGCCUAAUACAUGCAAGUCGAACGCUGGAGAUCUAGCUUGCUAGAUCGAAGGAGUGGCGAACGGGUGAGUAAUACAUAAGCAACCUACCCACGAAGACUGGGAUAAUCUCUGGAAACGGGGACUAAUACCGGAUAGGUAAUCGGAAGGCAUCUUCUGAUUAUUAAAGGUUAAAAACACUGGUGGAUGGGCUUAUGGCGCAUUAGUUAGUUGGUGAGGUAACGGCCCACCAAGACGAUGAUGCGUAGCCGGCCUGAGAGGGUGAACGGCCACAUUGGGACUGCGACACGGCCCAGACUCCUACGGGAGGCAGCAGUAGGGAAUUUUCGGCAAUGGGGGAAACCCUGACCGAGCAACGCCGCGUGAGUGAUGACGGCCUUCGGGUUGUAAAGCUCUGUUGUAAGGGAAGAACGGUAGAUAGAGAAUAUCUAAGUGACGGUACCUUACCAGAAAGCCACGGCUAACUACGUGCCAGCAGCCGCGGUAAUACGUAGGUGGCGAGCGUUAUCCGGAAUUAUUGGGCGUAAAGGGUGCGUAGGCGGCCUGUUAAGUAAGUGGUUAAAUUGUUGGGCUCAACCCAAUCCAGCCACUUAAACUGGCAGGCUAGAGUAUUGGAGAGGCAAGUGGAAUUCCAUGUGUAGCGGUAAAAUGCGUAGAUAUAUGGAGGAACACCAGUGGCGAAGGCGGCUUGCUAGCCAAAGACUGACGCUCAUGCACGAAAGCGUGGGGAGCAAAUAGG
rnacentral:rRNA from 1 species